rnacentral:misc_RNA from 1 species
UUUACUUGUAUCUAUCAAUAUCUAAUUAUCAUAUGAACUUUGCAAGUUUUCCAAAAGAAAUUUACAUAGUGCCAAGCCAUUACAGUCAUGUUACAGCCAUUACAGGCUGUUUUUGUUACCUACGACCAUGACCACGAUCGCAACUGCAAUUUAAAACCAUGAUCAGAAAUGAAACGAUGAAACUAAUAUCAACUGUUACAAUUGUUCAAACAA